rnacentral:rRNA from 1 species
AACGACUCUCGACAACGGAUAUCUCGGCUCUCGCAUCGAUGAAGAACGUAGCGAAAUGCGAUACUUGGUGUGAAUUGCAGAAUCCCGCGAACCAUCGAGUCUUUGAACGCAAGUUGCGCCCGAAGCCAUUCGGCCGAGGGCACGUCUGCCUGGGCGUCACGC